UACGUAGGGUGCAAGCGUUGUCCGGAAUUAUUGGGCGUAAAGAGCUCGUAGGCGGUCUGUCGCGUCUGCUGUGAAAUCCCAGGGCUUAACCCUGGGCCUGCAGUGGGUACGGGCAGACUAGAGUGCGGUAGGGGAGAUCGGAAUUCCUGGUGUAGCGGUGAAAUGCGCAGAUAUCAGGAGGAACACCGGUGGCGAAGGCGGAUCUCAGGGCCGUAACUGACGCUGAGGAGCGAAAGCAUGGGUAGCGAACAGG
rnacentral:rRNA from 1 species